UACGUAGGGUGCGAGCGUUGUCCGGAAUUAUUGGGCGUAAAGAGCUCGUAGGCGGUCUGUCGCGUCGAUCGUGAAAACUUGGGGCUUAACCCUGAGCUUGCGGUCGAUACGGGCAUGACUGGAGUUCGGCAGGGGAGACUGGAAUUCCUGGUGUAGCGGUGAAAUGCGCAGAUAUCAGGAGGAACACCGGUGGCGAAGGCGGGUCUCUGGGCCGAUACUGACGUGAGGAGCGAAAGCGUGGGGAGCGAACAGGA
rnacentral:rRNA from 1 species